rfam:Salmo salar isolate Sally breed double haploid chromosome ssa14, whole genome shotgun sequence.
UGCACUCACUACUGCAAGUCGCUCUGGAUAAGAGCGUCUGCUAAAUGACUAAAA